rnacentral:lncRNA from 1 species
ACCACUUAACUUGCUCCACUUAAAAGCCACCUGCAACAGCCAGUUAGGAUUCUUCUCAUUCAUUCACUGAUCAACUAAAAAAAACCAACUUAACCAACUGAGUUAAUUCUAACUAACUGAGUUUCACCAUGAACUCAGUGAGUUGAAUGCAACUAACUCCUAGCCUGAACAUAACAGAUUCCAAUCCUAACUCCAAGCUUAAACACUUCCAAACCUAAACUCUAUUUAAAC